AACGUUAGUGUGCUUUCUUCAGCUAGAUGGGCUGUCUCAGAUCCAGUUGAAGACCUCGGCAAAAGGACUUUUUCAAAUAUCGCAUGUCUUGUGGGAUUCGAUUAUGCUGUCGUAUAUAUUGCAUAACCUGCACCUCCGUUUCUGUUCUUAUGAGGGUGCUUGUCGGCAGGUCGUUAUGCGGCUACAGCAGCAUCUGAGCUGUACUGUCCAUAAGCCGAGGAACGCUCACCUACGUUCUCUUAUGAGAACGAAACGUUCAACUACGUUUUUUUAUGAGAUCGGAGUUGAGCGUUCUGUAUCUCUUUACCCUAGACUAUUUCUGCGUUUUAAAGAUGCACUAUGCAGAAACAGCUCCGCCAUUUCUUGGUUGCUAAAAUUGUAAUAGUUAGCCUCAUUUCAGUUAAUCUGACAAAACAAGCAAGUAUAGUGUAGAGAAUAAUUGUACUUUCUAAACCGCUAUGAAAUAUUUCCCAUGACCAAAAAUAUAGCUGGUGUACAAUAACGUUACCAAAAGUAAAAGAUACAAAAACGACAUCUAAGGAAUGGAAGCAAUAGAAAUACUGCAUAUAGAACAUAUCUACUGCUUUUUAGACUUGCUUUCAAUGAGAGUGAAAGAUCUGUAACUCUGACUUUGGUGGACGAUCCACUUACUUAUAGUCUACGUCAGUAUUAGUCGUAAUACAUAUAACACCUAGCGGUCAAACACAGAAAUGGUUCCAAUCGUUUUUCCACCGUUCGUUUGAGCCAUUGUGGAUUUUAGAAACGCUUCAAUUAAGGGCUGUGUUUUCAUGUAGGUUUACCCUGCCGGUACGUUUUGAUAACUAUGCUAAUUAGCUGCUAAUGCGGAUAUCAUCUAGAACUACAAAUGCCUGUCUCAAGCCGACACUCACCAGGGCCUUGAAGAUCUGGACGAUACUGCCAAAUUGAGGCCAAGAACCAGUGGGUGUGCCUGAGUCUUGCCACCUCUCAACUAGUUGAACUUGUUGACUGCCAUGGCGGUGGCUGCUAAGACUGCAGCAGCUGCGAACCAGAAGACUGCAGCCCAGGUCCACACCUGCCCUGUCUGUCGGUUGAGUAGUAUUGGUUAGUACCGUGCGUGCCUUUAGGUUUCUCUCCAUGUGUAGACUAUUGUACUGGCCUGUGUGGUACAGUCUUGUUUUUUGCAUCGUAUUGCUUAGUUUAUAAUUGGUCAAUUUCUGAUUUCAAUCUAAGCCACAGAUUAACUUUCUCCAUUUUGUACUUGAUGUUUAUAGAUGCAGACCCGAAGACGUUCAAGCAGCACUUUGAGAGCAAGCAUUCCAAGUCUACAGUGUUCCCAGUACUGGUUGAUGUGCAGGCCUAAGGAAGCACAUACACCAGCUGUAGGUCCAUUUGAUUGUAAGAUUCUUCCAUCAUUUACACACAGUAGACAGUGUAAACCACCAUUUUGGACCUGGGCUGCAGUCUUCUGGUUUCUCUCACGUCACCCCGCUCCUCCGCUCUCUCCACUGGCUUCCAGUUGAAGCUCGCAUCCGCUACAAGACCAUGGUGCUUGCCUACGGAG